rnacentral:rRNA from 1 species
CAAUAGCGUAUAUUAAAGUUGUUGCAGUUAAAAAGCUCGUAGUUGGAUUUCUGAUCGAGACAUCAGGUCGGGUCCGAGAGGAUCAUGUACUUUGAUUUUGUUUUGAUCAUCCUUGGGGAGAGCAUUUCUGGCAUUCAGUUGUCGGGAUUGGGAUCCUCAUCGUUUACUGUGAAAAAAUUAGAGUGUUCAAAGCAGGCCUCGGCCUCUGAAUACAUUAGCAUGGAAUAAUAAGAUAGGACUUUGGUGGUCUAUUUUGUUGGUUUGCACGCCAAAGUAAUGAUUAAUAGGGAUAGUUGGGGGUAUUCGUAUUCAAUUGUCAGAGGUGAAAUUCUGGGAUUUAUGGAAGACGAACUACUGCGAAAGCAUUUACCAAGGAUGUUUUCAUUAA